rnacentral:rRNA from 1 species
CCUACGGGUGACAGCAGUGAGGAAUAUUGGUCAAUGGCCGGAAGGCUGAACCAGCCAUGCCGCGUGAAGGUCAGUGCCCUAUGGGCGUUAAACUUCUUUUGUGCGGGAGCAAUAAUGGUCACGUGUGGCCAGACGAGAGUACCGUACGAAUAAGCAUCGGCUAACUCCGUGCCAGCAGCCGCGGUAAUACGGGGGAUGCAAGCGUUAUCCGGAUUUAUUGGGUUGAAAGGGUGCGUAGGCUGUGAGGUAAGUCAGCGGUGAAAUGCCCCCGCUCAACGGGGUGAAGUGCCAUUGAUACUGCCUGGCUGGAAUGCGGAUGCCGUGGGAGGAAUGUGUGGUGUAGCGGUGAAAUGCAUAGAUAUCACACAGAACACCGAUUGCGAAGGCAUCUCACGAAUCCGCGAUUGACGCUGAUGCACGAAAGCGUGGGUAUCAAACAGGAUUAGAUACCCUAGUAGUC